CUGAGAUCGAUUAUCUAAAGCGGUUUGGCCGGGAGUGGGUGAAAUCUGGGGGCCAUCAGGACCCUAAUGUUAGCAAGCCCUCCCCGGAGUUGCUGUAAAGCAGCACCCACGCUACGCUGAUCUUGUCAGCAUUUGGGGAGCACCUGAGGAUUCAGAAAUGAAACAGCAGUCAGAAACACUAAAGAGCAGUCUUAUAGGUGUGAAGAUCAUCUGCCCUGACCUGGCGGACAGUAAAAUGCUGGAGAAGAAGCUCCCUUUGACCAUGACUGUGAGGAAACUGAAGGCCUUAAUCUUCAGAGUGUUCAAG